rnacentral:rRNA from 1 species
UACGUAGGGUGCAAGCAUUAAUCGGAAUUAUUGGGCGUAGAGGGCGCGUAGGCGGGAAGGUAAGUCAGAUGUGAAAUCCCGGGGCUCAACCCCGGAACUGCAUUUGAAACUACCAUUCUAGAGGGUAGGCGGAGAAAAUGGAAUUCCACAAGUAGCGGUGAAAUGCGUAGAUAUGUGGAAGAACACCAGUGGCGAAAGCGGUUUUCUAGCUUAUACCUGACGCUGAGGCGCGAAAGCAAGGGGAUCAAACAGG